UAAUAUUAUGACUGAAUUAAGUGAUAAAUUGUAAAUUUAUUUAUGAAAGAAAAAUUUCUAAUAUUAA
rnacentral:tRNA from 1 species